rnacentral:rRNA from 1 species
AGCAAGUGGCGGCGUGCUAUACAUGCAGUCGAGCGGACAGAUGGGAGCUUGCUCCCUGAUGUUAGCGGCGGACGGGUGAGUAACACGUGGGUAACCUGCCUGUAAGACUGGGAUAACUCCGGGAAACCGGGGCUAAUACCGGAUGGUUGUUUGAACCGCAUGGUUCAGACAUAAAAGGUGGCUUCGGCUACCACUUACAGAUGGACCCGCGGCGCAUUAGCUAGUUGGUGAGGUAACGGCUCACCAAGGCAACGAUGCGUAGCCGACCUGAGAGGGUGAUCGGCCACACUGGGACUGAGACACGGCCCAGACUCCUACGGGAGGCAGCAGUAGGGAAUCUUCCGCAAUGGACGAAAGUCUGACGGAGCAACGCCGCGUGAGUGAUGAAGGUUUUCGGAUCGUAAAGCUCUGUUGUUAGGGAAGAACAAGUGCCGUUCAAAUAGGGCGGCACCUUGACGGUACCUAACCAGAAAGCCACGGCUAACUACGUGCCAGCAGCCGCGGUAAUACGUAGGUGGCAAGCGUUGUCCGGAAUUAUUGGGCGUAAAGGGCUCGCAGGCGGUUUCUUAAGUCUGAUGUGAAAGCCCCCGGCUCAACCGGGGAGGGUCAUUGGAAACUGGGGAACUUGAGUGCAGAAGAGGAGAGUGGAAUUCCACGUGUAGCGGUGAAAUGCGUAGAGAUGUGGAGGAACACCAGUGGCGAAGGCGACUCUCUGGUCUGUAACUGACGCUGAGGAGCGAAAGCGUGGGGAGCGAACAGGAUUAGAUACCCUGGUAGUCCACGCCGUAAACGAUGAGUGCUAAGUGUUAGGGGGUUUCCGCCCCUUAGUGCUGCAGCUAACGCAUUAAGCACUCCGCCUGGGGAGUACGGUCGCAAGACUGAAACUCAAAGGAAUUGACGGGGGCCCGCACAAGCGGUGGAGCAUGUGGUUUAAUUCGAAGCAACGCGAAGAACCUUACCAGGUCUUGACAUCCUCUGACAAUCCUAGAGAUAGGACGUCCCCUUCGGGGGCAGAGUGACAGGUGGUGCAUGGUUGUCGUCAGCUCGUGUCGUGAGAAUGUUGGGUUAAGUCCCGCAACGAGCGCAACCCUUGAUCUUAGUUGCCAGCAUUCAGUUGGGCACUCUAAGGUGACUGCCGGUGACAAACCGGAGGAAGGUGG